UACAGGCAGCAUGUGCAGCUCAGAGGUCAGCCAUGACAAGUGAGCUUUCUCCUGGACAAAGGACAACAGCUGCACAGACACUGCCACGGCGUGGAAACCAGAUGAAGCUCAGGACAUGAGAAGUACACUUCACCAAGAGCAUAAACAGGAACAGAGAGGCAGCAAUUUGUUAAUUUGACUGAUCCUAAAGGUCUUCACAGAUGAGCCCUGAGAAUGAAAAUCUGACGCUGUUGAACUGCCAUCUCCUUGUUGCUAUGGAGAUAGGUCUACCUGUUGAUAAUAUGGAAAAUUAAGUCACCCCACAGAUUUUUUCCCCUUGAGCCCCAGUCUCAGACUGUGCUACCUGUUGGCAAGCCCUUGAGACAGCCCAAUUAACAUUCACUUGUAACUUCAAAGGAAUUUUGGAAUUUUGGAAAUCACCUCUGCAAAAAAGAGGUCCUGUCAUCAUCCUGAAUUUGGUGAACUGCAACAUUUACCCUUUCAGUUGGAGCCAUUUUUGUCUUUCCUUUCACACUGGACAUCCAAUCUAUCUGUCAUAAUAACUCAGUUCUGAAACUACAAGUCGUUUCUUAUUCCCAUUGGCCUUGUUCACUUUUAUUAGUACCGUGUCCUGGUCACCUGGUUCUCCCUUUGCUUUCUUUCAUACAGCAGCCAGACAGACUACAACCAAGGGCAAGUGAGAUCAGGUCACCUUUCUGCUGGAAACCCCUAGUAAUGCUCAUUGCACUCCAGGUGAAAGACGGAGUGUUUUCCGUGGCCCAGAAGGCCUUGCUUUUAUGUCUUUGUUAGCUAUUAGGCCUCAAAUCCCAGUACUUUUCCUCUCCUUCCAAACCUAGCUUCACCAACUCCUGGGACCUUCCCUCACCCAGGGUCUCUGUUCUGAUACACAUCUGUUCUGACUGUUCCUUCUGCCUGGGCCUCACCUCUUCUGGACUUCUGCAGGCCUUGCUCCCUCUCUCAGGUAUAUUGGAGAGUCAACACACGCCCUGCAGAGAAGCACCGCAGGAAGGAAGGGUGACAUAGGAUGUCCAAAGAGCAUGUAAUUCAGCAACCAUCUACCGGUGCUCCAGGUUCCACAAUCAACCAAUCAGGCUCGAGGGCUUCCUGCAGGUUCCCGUCCCUUAUUUGCAUAGCGCACCGAGUGCUAACCUGUGCAGGUGCUUUAUGUCACUUCCCCCUCAUUGUCCCUCGGAGCGCCCUGCUUUGCAAACGGCUAAUUAAAACUUUCUCUUUUAUCUGAAUUCUUUUCUUAGCGGAUUUUUGUUGACAUGAUUUCGCGGGAUAUCCCUGGUUCUUCUAGUGAGGGCUUGGGGAAAAAAAUUGCCCGAAAAUAUUACAUUGCUUAUUUGGCAGGCAAUGACAGGGAGUUCUAACAC
rnacentral:lncRNA from 1 species